rnacentral:rRNA from 1 species
UACGUAGGCAGCAAGCGUUGUUCGGAAUUACUGGGCGUAAAGAGUGUGUAGGCGGUGUUCUAAGUUUGUCGUGAAAUCUCCCGGCUUAACUGGGAGGGUGCGGCGAAAACUGGAAUGCUAGAGGAUGGGAGAGGUAAGCGGAAUUCCUGGUGUAGCGGUGAAAUGCGUAGAUAUCAGGAGGAACACCGGUGGCGAAGGCGGCAUCCUGGACCAACACUGACGCUGAGGAGCGAAAGCCAGGGGAGCAAACGGG